rnacentral:rRNA from 1 species
CAGUAGCCGCGGUAAUACAGAGGGUGCGAGCGUUAAUCGGAUUUACUGGGCGUAAAGCGUGCGUAGGCGGCUAAUUGAGUCGGAUGUGAAAUCCCCGAGCUUAACUUGGGAAUUGCAUUCGAUACUGGUUAGCUAGAGUAUGGGAGAGGAUGGUAGAAUUCCAGGUGUAGCGGUGAAAUGCGUAGAGAUCUGGAGGAAUACCGAUGGCGAAGGCAGCCAUCUGGCCUAAUACUGACGCUGAGGUACGAAAGCAUGGGGAGCAAACAGGAUUAGAGACCCCUGUAGUCCCUGUCUCUUAUAC